UACGUAGGGUGCGAGCGUUAAUCGGAAUUACUGGGCGUAAAGCGUGCGCAGGCGGUGAUGUAAGACAGUUGUGAAAUCCCCGGGCUCAACCUGGGAAUUGCAUCUGUGACUGCAUCGCUAGAGUACGGUAGAGGGGGAUGGAAUUCCGCGUGUAGCAGUGAAAUGCGUAGAUAUUCGGAAGAACACCAGUGGCGAAGGCGGCUCACUGGACGCGUAUUGACGCUGAGGUACGAAAGCGUGGGGAGCAAACAGG
rnacentral:rRNA from 1 species